AUUUAAAAAUCGGAGGAAGAUUUCUGGUAAAAAGUUGUUUACAGAUAAAAAUAUAAUAAUAAUAAUAAAAAACAUCAUUGUAAAACCAAUAGACUUUUAAUCACCUCAUAAUCUAAAAACGAGUUUCACGAUUGCACAAUAUUAUUAUAACAUACUUGAGAAUUUAAAUAUUUUUAUAUUCUGAAUGGAGCGAAGAAAUUUAUAGUUUUACAAAGAUGUUAAUUUUUUUUUUUUUUAUCUGUGCGCAACUUUUCAACCAAAAGACUUAUUCGGAUUUCUACGGGUAGUAUUUCUCCUGAAAGUAAAUCGGCGUGGGGUGGUACUUUAGGGUGGUCAUUUUUUGAUUUUCUCAAUAGUUUUCCUAGAAAAUGUGAAAACCCGGGAUAAAAUAUGGAAAAACCGGGGAAAACGUAGGAAAACAGGGAAAAUCGGUACAACGUUAAACAAAUUUUAUUAAUAAAAAUGUAUAAAGCCUUUUUAAUUAUUUUACUACAAAAUGACAUAUAUAUCGUUGAAAAAGCAUCACUAUCAACUGAACUCCGCUCAGAAUCGUUUUUUUCGUAAGCAAUGGUUUAUCGUUGUUUACAGAUAUACAUUAAAUUCUUGUCUAUAUCUUACCUUCCCAACUUCCCACCUAUACUAAUGGCUAUACCUGUCCUCAGUUUCUUUCCUUUCUUUUUUUGUUUAGCAUUUUGAUGAGAGACUUGCAGAUUACCUAUAAUACAAGAUAACUGCUAUUAUAAUCUUUUUUUAUCGAAAACCGCAGCAAGUACACGCGAUUGAAACGAUUAAAAUUAUAGUAUGGAUACCUACCGAAAGAUGGUUUUCAUAGAUUAACCGACUGUCACUGUACUUACUUUACUCGUGGAACAAUGUUUCGAUAAUAUUUUAUAUCUAUAAAAUAUAAAUGUCCCAUGACCUGAUUUGAUUGCGUUACAUACGAAAAUCGUGUCAUUGCUUAUUGGAACGCCGCCGUCGUCAUCGCUUUUAAGUCGUUUUAGAAAGCUGUAUUUUUAACGGAUAUUAUAAAGUAUUGUAAAAGGCGUAUAUGUUAUAAAAGUAAAUUCCCUAGGUAGUAAAUCAUUUAAAUAAAAAUUGUAAAAAAAAUC